CCGGCGAGAUGGGAUGGUUCGGCGAGGGGAGCGUGGUGGUUGGCGAUGAUAGAAACCUCGAGCUUACUUCGCGGGAUUUAGCUCUUCUGGGUUUGUGGGAUUGGUCUGUCAGUGAUCGUUCUUCAUUCUGUGUUGUGUGCUUUUGCACUUUGCAAUCUCUCUCUGUCUAUAUAUAUAUGCAAACUUCAGACUGACUGGAGGCGGAGGAAUAGAGGAGGAGGCGGAGGAGGAGGAGGUGGAAGAGGGAGGGAUCUCUCUCUCUCUCUCUCUCUCUCUCUCUCUCAUCUCUCUUUGGGUUAAAGCCUGAUUUCGUGGGAAGCCCAAGUUUUUAAAGUGUUUUAGAAAGCCCAAAUGAAUCCCUCCAUUCUCGGCCCAAUGAAGGCCCCAAACUCGUAGGGACUUGGGCUGGUAAUGAGGACCCCAAUGUGACAUCGUCUUCAAUGAUUUUCAGGUGUCGGUGUUGGACUAAGCCACACAAUAGGUUAUUAGUAAUUCAGAGUCGAACUUGCCAUGAGAGUAUGACUCCCAUAUUGGAAAAAUGAGUAACUUUAUAAGAAAUUAAGCUAUUCUUCAUAUUGCCAAUUGGUUCACCUUCUUCAUGUGUUAGGUCAAUAACCACACAUUGCUCCACGUCACUCGAUUGGCGUUGUCCAUAUGGAACACUUAGAAGUUAUUUUCCUCGUGUUUAGAAGUUAUUUUCUACACUCACAAUGUUUGCCAGCUCGCUAUAUAAUCAACUUAAAUUAGUUAAAUCCAUCAUGCAAUGCAUUUUCUUACCAUGCAAUGUAUAAAGUGUAAAAUAUUGUACUAAUUCAUUAUAUAUAAAUGAUUAUGGUGUGUUUAGACUUCUUUCAUUAAUUACUACAUAUUUUCUACACUCACAAUGUUUGUCAGCUUGCUAUAUAAUCAACUUGAUAAUGUUAAAUCCAUCAUGCAAUGCAUUUCCUUCCAAUUUUUUGUGAUAAACUAAUAGAUAAUUGACUAAAUAAACAUCCUGCAAAGUUUCAAUAAAAAUUUCCAAGUUUUUCUUACAAUUUCCUUGGUUUCCAUGUAAUUUUUAUCGAUAUCGAUAUUAUCCCGAUAUUUCCAUCGAUAUUUCCGUGUUUUCGGACUACCGAUAUUUCGGAUAUUACCGAUAUUUUCUUCCUUGGGUGUAAGAACAAAACGAAACCAAUUUUGUUAAAUACUCUUUUGCGGUACUGUUUUACUUGUUAGUUGUAGUGGCUAGAGAGACUAAAUUUAUAAAUAAAAUUUACAAAUUAAAUGAUGUGUCACAAAUAAAAAUGAGCACGUUCAUUAACGCUUAAGUAAUAACCCAAUCAGCAACUUUCUUGUUAUUUAGUUUACAAAAUUUUGUCUACAAAUUUAGUUCUCCUAGCAUUACUCAUUUACAAAAGAGUAAUACUAGGUAGACUAAAUUUGUAAACAAAAUUUACAAACUAAAUGAUGUGUCAUCAAUAAAAAAUAAGCAUAUUAAUCAACACUUAAACAAUAAUCUAAUCAUCAACUUACAUAACAUUAUGAAAAGCUAUGUCACCUGCUUUUUUUAGUCUUCUUAACAUUAUCCUUUACAAAAUAGCUAGGUCACCUACUCUUUUUAUUUCACGUUUACCAAUUAUGGAAAGCUAUAACAACUUUUUAUUUUCUUUGUUUUUCUUCUUCAGCUUGUUUUCAUGCAUGGUAAACACGUACACUGCAGAAUUUUGAGGAAACUGCCCAGCUAGCUAGCUAACAUGUUUUGCUUACUUUCAUUACACAAAACCCUAAAGCAGUUUUGAACUCUCUCUCUCUCUCUCUCUCUCUCUCUCUCUCUCUCUCUCUCUCUCUCUCUCUCUCUCUCUCUCUCUCUCUGAAAUCAUCUACUUACAGCCCCACCUCACAAUGAAUCAAGUGGGGUUUUCACUUUUGGUUGAGUGAAGUGUGUAGAAAUAAAAAAAGGUAGACUGAAUUAUGGUAUUAUCUAUAUAUUACCACCUUCGGUCUCCACUGUAAUUACUCAUUUAGUGGGAGAGACAGAAAUUCUUGUCGGCAAAGGAGAGCUUAUACUAACACUGACUGCUUACCAACUAUGUUCUCUCUCUCUCUCUCUCUCAUGUUUAAGCUUUUCACCAAUCACACCAGUAUGUUAUGUUAUGCCUCUCACUCCACUGAUGAAUUGUUCUGGUGUAAAAGGGAAAAGGGAAAUAUAAUAUAAUGAUUAGUGUAGGAAGACAAUCUCUUUACAAGAAUCUUUCUCUGUUCCAAAUGCUCCACACACUCUCUCUCUCUCUCUAUAUAUAUAUAUAUCAAUUUUUUGUUUUCCUUUAUUUACACCUACAACUGUUUAUUUCAGUUGCAACUUUCAACUUGUUUUGUGCUUCGUAUCAUUAACUGUGGAGAUUUUGGAAGAUUUCUAGCUGAUGCCGUAAUUAUUAAGGGUGAACAUAACACCCGGGAGAAUGAUUAACGCAGUGGACUGGAUGAGAUUUAUAUAAUAAGCUAAAAGGCUUUUUAGCAAAAAUGAUCAAUGAGAUUUACUCAUCAUUUUGGUCUAUGAGAUUUGAAAUCAUUAUAAGUGGUCCUUAAGUUUGUCCACCAUCAAUUAUUUUGAUCAUUCCAUGAAAAUUAUAUUAAAUAAUGACCAAAAUAACAAAAAUACCCUCAAUUUAAUAAACAAUGGACCAAAUGAUUUGACAAAAAUUGAGGAUAUUUUUAUCAUUUGAGCCUUAUUUAAUGGAGAUUUUUCAUGGAAUGACCAAAAUGAUUGAUGGUAGACAAACUCAUGGACUACUUCUAUUGAUUUCAAAUCUCAGAGAUCAAAGGAAGGAGUUAUGCAAAUUUCAGGGACUAUUUUGGCCAAAAAGCCUAUAUAAUAUGACGUGUUAUAAUAUGUACAGACGAGAAAAUUGAUAGAUCUGAUUUUUUUUUUUAAAUAUCUUGUUUACAAAAUGAUGAGUUGAUAUUAAUUUAUAUUUUAACACUAAUCUUAGUUAUGUUGUGGCUUAUUUAAUUUGACAAGGCAAAGAGGGGCAAAGAGAGAUGUGUUUGUAGGGUGUGUGUUAUUCUCUCAACGCAUUGCCUUUAUUUAUAGUAUAAUAAGGGAGGGAAGAAUCCUUCUCCUCCAAGGCAUAUAAUCCUAAUAGAGAAGAAUAACUAGUAUCAAUUAUAAUAAGGGAUUUAUAAAAUCACAAUCUUAAUGAUAAGCUUUCCCAUGGAGCAAGUUUGACAUCCGAUUUCCUGAAUCAAACCUAAACUUUGGGUUAAUGGAUGUCCGUGUGAAAAUUUAAGGAUACAGGGCAUCACAGUUCAUCCUAGGUGUCCUAAACGAUAAUGCCAAAGUGUAAUUUCAUGCGCAGUCCUUGAGGUAGGGACAUAGUGGCUCUUUAUAGGGUGUAUGGUUGUAGUAUACAGACCACUCGGGAUACGCUCCAUCUACUCUAGAAUACAUUUCUGGCCAUAUUUAUAGGAAGUGAUGCACAUAAAUUCAACUCCAUUUUCAACAUGGGUUUCAACAUGGUAAUUAUUGUCUCGAAUGUCUUUAAUGCUCAACAAAGUGAUUCCGGAACGUGGAGAAUAAAGUGCAUCUUGAAUGGUCAAAAUAGUUGCCAUUGGACAACAUUAUAUGGGCCUUACCAUAUCAUUUGAUCAGGUUGGAUGGAUCUAAAAGGGUUGUCAGAGGUACAUUCAUAGGAACAAAGUUAGUGAAAUAGAUGCGUUCACACAAAACGUGUGUGUGGUUGCCCUAUCUGGCAGACAACUAACUUUACCACUAGUUAUACCUAGAAAGUAAAAUUAAUUUGAAUCAGUCACAUGCAUAAAAAUACUAAAAACAUAUAUCCAUUCAAAAUAAUUUAAGCAUUCGAAGAUGGUUAUUUUUAAACUUAAUAUCCAAAAUUAAAACAAAUCACCAACAAAUAAUCCAAACAUAAAGGAAAAUUGUUCAAACUUAAACCAAAAAACAAAGAGGGGUUCGGCCCUAGGGGUCUAAAAUUCAACUAAAAAAAAUGGUCCAUGUCUAAGAUUCUAAUCUUCCAUAGGGAUAACAGUCUCUUAAAAAUCAGAAACCUCCAUCUUGGUAUUCUCUGGUUCAUCCACUUGCAUAAAGUUUGAUUCAAACUUUUUACAACAAGAAUGAUAUUCAGUUACAACCUUCGGGGGAGCACGACAAACACAGGACCAAUGGUCCUUUGAACCACAACGGUAUCACAUAUCUGCAUCCAUAAUGUCAGGUGCUUUACCCUUAUUCUUGAAGUUUAAGGCCUUGGGAACGAGGUUAGACCGCUUAUGGGCUCAGUUUCCUCCCUUAGAUGGGCCUUAGCUAUGUUAACCUUGACGGGGUGGCUUUUGGCCACCCUUACCAUGCCUAGAAUGGCAUUUUGGGCGUCGAUUCUCGCUAUGGUGUGCUUCAGGCACAAUGGUCGCCUUAGUAGGUCGAG
rnacentral:lncRNA from 1 species